rnacentral:rRNA from 1 species
AGAGUUUGAUCCUGGCUCAGAAUCAACGCUGGCGGCGUGCCUCAGACAUGCAAGUCGAACGCGAAAGUUUCCUUCGGGAGAUGAGUAGAGUGGCGCACGGGUGAGUAACACGUAGGUAAUCUACCUUUGGGUGGGGAAUAACGCAGGGAAACUUGCGCUAAUACCGCAUAAUGCAGCGGCACCACAUGGUGACAGUUGUUAAAGCGGGGGAUUUUCGAACCUCGCGCCUAAAGAGGAGCCUGCGGCAGAUUAGCUAGUUGGUAAGGUAACGGCUUACCAAGGCGACGAUCUGUAGCCGGCCUGAGAGGGCGGUCGGCCACACUGACACUGACAUACGGGUCAGACUCCUACGGGAGGCAGCAGCCGGGAAUUUUGGGCAAUGGGCGAAAGCCUGACCCAGCAACGCCGCGUGAAGGAUGAAAUCCUUCGGGAUGUAAACUUCGCAAGAAUGGGAAGAAUUAGUAGGGGUUAAUACCCCCUAUGAUGACGGUACCAUUUGUAAGCUCCGGCUAACUCCGUGCCAGCAGCCGCGGUAAUACGGGGGGAGCAAGCGUUGUUCGGAUUUACUGGGCGUAAAGGGCGCGUAGGCGGUCAGCACAAGUCAGUUGUGAAAUCUCCGGGCUUAACUCGGAAAGGUCAACUGAUACUGUGCGACUAGAGUGCAGAAGGGGCAACUGGAAUUCUCGGUGUAGCGGUGAAAUGCGUAGAUAUCGAGAGGAACACCUGCGGCGAAGGCGGGUUGCUGGGCUGACACUGACGCUGAUGCGCGAAAGCCAGGGGAGCGAACGGGAUUAGAUACCCUAGUAGUCC